rnacentral:rRNA from 1 species
UACGUAGGGUGCGAGCGUUAAUCGGAAUUACUGGGCGUAAAGCGUGCGCAGGCGGUUGUGUAAGACAGAUGUGAAAUGCCCGGGCUUAACCUGGGAACUGCAUUUGUGACUGCACGGCUAGAAUCUGGCAGAGGGGGGGUAGAAUUCCACGUGUAGCAGUGAAAUGCGUAGAGAUGUGGAGGAAUACCGAUGGCGAAGGCAGCCCCCCUGGGCCAAGAUUGACGCUCAUGCACGAAAAGCGUGGGGGAGCAAACAGG